rnacentral:rRNA from 1 species
CGUGUAGGCGGGCAAUCAAGUCAGAUGUAAAAGGCGACGGCUUAACCGUAGUAUGUCAUCUGAUACUGGUUGUCUUGAGUUCGAGAGAGGGUGGUGGAAUUCCCGGUGUAGCGGUGAAAUGCGUAGAUAUCGGGAAGAACACCUGAAGCGAAGGCGGCCACCUGGAUCGACACUGACGCUGAGGCGCGAAAGCGUGAUAGCAAACA